AGAGUUUGAUCAUGGCUCAGAAUCAACGCUGGCGGCGCGCUUAACACAUGCAAGUCGCACGAGAAAGGGGCAACCUGAGUAAAGUGGCGUACGGGUGAGUAACACGUGGAUCAUAUACCUUUUAGUGGGGAAUAACUUUGGGAAACCGAAGCUAAUACCGCAUAAGCCCGAGAGGGGAAAGCAGCAAUGCGCUGAAAGAGUAGUCCGCGGCUGAUUAGCUAGUUGGUGAGGUAAUGGCUCACCAAGGCUUUGAUCGGUAGCCGGCCUGAGAGGGCUCACGGCCACACUGGCACUGAAACACGGGCCAGACUCCUACGGGAGGCAGCAGUGGGGAAUCUUGCACAAUGGGGGAAACCCUGAUGCAGCGACGCCGCGUGAGUGAUGAAGCCCUUCGGGGUGUAAAGCUCUUUCGACGGGAACGAUAAUGACGGUACCCGGAGAAGAAGCUGCGGCUAACUACGUGCCAGCAGCCGCGGUAAUACGUAGGCAGCAAGCGUUGUUCGGAAUUACUGGGCGUAAAGCGAGUGUAGGCGGUUCGAUAAGUUUGGUGUGAAAUCUCCCGGCUCAACUGGGAGGGUGCGCCGAAGACUGUCGAGCUAGAGUGUGGGAGAGGUAGGCGGAAUUCCUGGUGUAGCGGUGAAAUGCGUAGAUAUCAGGAGGAACACCUGCGGUGUAGACGGCUUACUGGACCACGACUGACGCUGCAACUCGAAAGUGUGGGGAGCAAACAGGAUUAGAUACCCUAGUAGUCC
rnacentral:rRNA from 1 species